UAUCUCUGUAGAGUCUGCAUAUCAAUAAGCGGAGGAAAAGAAACUAACAAGGAUUCCCUUAGUAACGGCGAGUGAAGCGGGAAGAGCUCAAACUUGAAAUCUUCAAGGUUUUACCUUGACGAACUGUAGUUUAAAGAAGUGUUUUCUGUUGAAGUUUCGGUAAAAGUUCUUUGGAAUAGGACAUCAUAGAGGGUGAGAAUCCCGUAUUUGACCAGUUAUUUUCCAGCUGUGUGAUACACUUUCGAAGAGUCGGAUUGUUUGGGAAUGCAGUCCAAAAUGGGUGGUAAAUUUCAUCUAAAGCUAAAUACUGGCGAGAGACCGAUAGCGAACAAGUACCGUGAAGGAAAGAUGAAAAGAACUUUGAAAGAGAGUUAAACAGUACGUGAAAUUGUCAAAAGGGAAGCGUUUGACACCAGUGUUGUUUUCUCGAAAAUCAAUUAAAAUAACUGCGGAUUUUGUGUUGUAUUGACCUUAAUCAGCUUUCUUCACUUUUUUCUUGUCUUUUUAAUGCACUUUUCGUUUAACAAGUCAACAUCAGUUUCUUUUGUUGUAAAAGGGUCAUUGGAAGGUGGCUUUCUUUUCGGAGAAAGUGUUUAUAGCCUUUGACUUCUGCAAUCGGAGAGAUUGAGGUCUGCAGCGUAGAUCCUUCGGGGUUAGAUGCAUUUGUGCUAAGUUAUAGCCUUUCAUAGACAACUUGUUGACUAUGAUCAGUCAUGUAGCUUACUCGCUUAUGUUAUUUUACCUACGCUUAGGAUGUUGAACGCGCACAGAGUCUC
rnacentral:rRNA from 1 species